rnacentral:rRNA from 1 species
UACGAGAGGCGCAAACGUUAUUCGGAUUUACUGGGCUUAAAGAGUUCGUAGGCGGCGCAGAGAGUAGGGUGUGAAAGCCCUCGGCUCAACCGAGGAAUUGCGCUCUAAACUACUGUGCUUGAGGAAGCUAGAGGUGAGCGGAACUGAUGGUGGAGCGGUGAAAUGCGUUGAUAUCAUCAGGAACACCGGAGGCGAAGGCGGCUCACUGGGGCUUAUCUGACGCUGAGGAACGAAAGCCAGGGGAGCGAACGGG